rnacentral:tRNA from 1 species
AAAAAGGUAAGCUAAUUAAGCUAUUGGGUUCAUACCCCACUUAUAUAAAUUUUAAUUUUAUUCUUUUUA